ACGAUUUGUCGGGGCCUCCGGGCCCCAACUCCAACCCUUUGUUUACUUCAAACGUUUGCUUCGGUGGGCCGGCGCUCCCGCCGCCGGCCUCUGGGCUGGAGAGCGCCCACCGACGGCGUCAACGAAACUCUGUUUGCACCUGUGAAAUCUGAGUCUUUUUUGUAAUGAAGCA
rnacentral:misc_RNA from 1 species